UACGUAGGGCGCAAGCGUUGUCCGGAAUUAUUGGGCGUAAAGAGCUCGUAGGUGGUCUGUCGCGUCGGCUGUGAAAACUCGGGGCUCAACCCCGAGCCUGCAGUCGAUACGGGCAGACUUGAGUGCGGUAGGGGAGACUGGAAUUCCUGGUGUAGCGGUGAAAUGCGCAGAUAUCAGGAGGAACACCGGCGGCGAAGGCGGGUCUCUGGGCCGUAACUGACACUGAGGAGCGAAAGCGUGGGGAGCGAACAGG
rnacentral:rRNA from 1 species